rnacentral:lncRNA from 1 species
GGCCGGCUCGCGGCACGUCCCCCACGGACAGGGCCUCGGGGGGUGGGACGCGGGGUGCGGGGGGGGACAUGGGCGCCCUGGGCUCACCCGAGGCCGAAAGUGGAAACGGGCAAGGAAAUGGGAGAAAGGAUGCCAGGCGCCGGGGAACUGGCCAAUGAGGAGUGGGCGGGUGGGCGUGAGCCUGGGGAUCCCGGGCCCAGCCGCCGGGGGCCGGAGGGCGGGACUUCCUGCUCCGCGCACCUUCCUGGUCUUUUGUUUCAUAGCAACGGAGUAGUGGCCGCGAGGGCGUCCCGGGCGGGGGCGGGGCCGCGGCCGCGGGAUCCCGGCAGCCCCCAGGGCUCGGGCGCCGCCGCCCCGGGACGGGACGGGACGCGCACCGGCCCGAAGUCCCGGAGCUCCCGAGCGAUCCCUCUUACGCACGAGGGCUCAGUUAUCCUGAACAAUUCAAUAUCACAGGAGGUAGAAUGGGCAAAACCAACAUCUUAUUUGUGCACUGUGUUUUCACACAUUCAAAUGUAAACUGUGCCCAAAUAUCCUUGAAAGAGCACCCCAGGAGAAAUAAGCUGGACCACUAUGCUAUCAUCAAGUUCCCCCUCACCACCGAGUCAGCCACAAAAAGAAGAAGAAGAAGAAGAAGAAGAAGAAGAAGAAGAAGAAGAAGAAGAAGAAGACGACGUCAAAACACACUCGUGUUCAUUGUGGUGUCAAGGCCAACAAGCACCAGAUCAAACAGACUAUGAUGAAGUUUUAUGAUAUUGAUACGGCCAAGGUCAACACCCUGAUCAGGCCCGAUGGAGAGAAGAAGGUAAAUGUUUAACUGGCUCUCGACUAUGAUGCUUGAAUGUUGCCAACAAACUUGGGAUCAUCUAAGCUGAGUCUAGCUCGUUAAAUCUAAAUAUAAAUUUUCACCAUAAAAAAAUAAAAACCAACUCUGUGAAAGCA